rnacentral:sRNA from 1 species
GCAUAGCCGUGAUUGAAAUGGCAUCCUUUUUUAAUGCGACUGAAAAAGCAUAAAUUGUAUUGAUUUGAUUGAUUUUCCAAGAAAGAAAUAGGUUAGAAAAAACUUCAAAAAAGAUAGAACGAAAAGCAGGAAAUAGC